UUAACUCAUAUUUGUAUGGAAUGGGAUAAUUUGCUUAUGUUUGCCGCUAGGGGCGCUGUUCCAACUUCAUACAAAAUUGGGCUA
rnacentral:pre_miRNA from 1 species